GGGAUAUUACAUUGGUGUUGAAGUACCUGAAGAUGAUCCUGAAGCUCAGAGACCAUUUUAUGGGUCAAAUGUGUGGCCUACUGCAGGUACCCUGCCUGGAUGGAAGGAAACUAUGGAGAAGUAUCAUCAAGAGGCACUUGAGGUGACAAAAGCAGUAUCAAGGCUCAUAGCCCUUGCACUUGAUCUUGAUGUUGACUUUUUUGAUCGGCCAGAGUUUCUUGGCAGACCAAUUGCUACUUUGCGCCUACUGCAUUAUGAAGG
rnacentral:misc_RNA from 1 species